GACGAACGCUGGCGGCGUGCUUAACACAUGCAAGUCGAGCGAUGAACCUUUCAUGAAUUUUUCGGAAUGAUUGGAAGAGGAUUAGCGGCGGACGGGUGAGUAACGCGUGAGCAACCUGCCUUAAACAACGGGAUAGCCUCGGGAAACCGGGAUUAAUACCGUAUGAGACCCCGCCUUCACAUGAAGAAGAGGUUAAAGAUUUAUCGGUUUAAGAUGGGCUCGCGUCUGAUUAGCUAGUUGGUGAGAUAAAAGCCCACCAAGGCAACGAUCAGUAACCGGCUUGAGAGGGUGAACGGUCACAUUGGAACUGAGACACGGUCCAAACUCCUACGGGAGGCAGCAGUGGGGAAUAUUGCACAAUGGGGGAAACCCUGAUGCAGCGACGCCGCGUGAGCGAUGAAGGAAUUCGUUUCGUAAAGCUCUGUCCAAGGGGAAGAUAAUGACAGUACCCUUGGAGGAAGCCCCGGCUAAAUACGUGCCAGCCGCCGCCGUAAGAC
rnacentral:rRNA from 1 species